AAUAGUAAUCAAGUCGGGAAGCCUUGUCUGUAAAUAAAAAAGUUGUGUCAAUUCCCCAGCCCUUAAUUGUAGUAAGGCUUGACAUGAGAGAAUGGGUAAGUAGGUUAGAAUUUGGCUAUCUCAAGCAAAACUCAGACAAGUACUACAAGACUAAGUGACAAAUGAUGUGCAGACAUCUGCUUGUCUGUUCUGAUGGUUGCAUGGCUUAGAGGCUGAAAGCGGGGCUGGAAGAGAAAAGGCUCGGAGGAUCCAGACGCAACACAAUGACGAGACUCAACAUUUGUUCUAACUGUUCUAAAACAAAUUUUUUAAAUAGUUUUGUAAGGCAAAGUCCAAUAGCAAAAAUGUUCAAGAAUUUGUAUAAAAUGGUACCAAUUAAGUAAUUGCAUUGGGAGGUAUAUAUUAAUAUUAUUCUCUGAUAUAUUCAUUACUUUCACUACAGAAACAUGAGAA
rnacentral:lncRNA from 1 species